rnacentral:rRNA from 1 species
CAGAGGUCCCGAGCGUUGUUCGGAUUCACUGGGCGUAAAGGGUGCGCAGGUGGCUUGGCAAGUUUGAUGUGAAAGCUCAGGGCUUAACCCUGAAAUGGCAUUGAAUACUGUUGAGCUGGAGGUUUGGAGGGGGGACUGGAAUUCUUGGUGUAGCAGUGAAAUGCGUAGAUAUCAAGAGGAACACCAGUGGCGAAGGCGAGUCCCUGGACAACACCUGACACUGAGGCACGGAAGCUAGGGGAGCAAACAGGAUUAGAUACCCUGGUAGUCCUAGCCCUAAACGGUGCGUGUUUGCUGUAGGAGGAAUCGACCCCUUCUGUGGCGAAGCUAACGCGUUAAACACGCCGCCUGGGGAGUACGGUCGCAAAGAUUAA